rfam:Populus trichocarpa isolate Nisqually-1 chromosome 15, whole genome shotgun sequence.
UCUAGAACUUGAGAUAUGGGCUAAACACUGAAUAGUGUCUGGGCUGCAGGACAAAUUCCGACUUCUCCGUUGUUGCUACCAUUUGAACUUGAAAAUGACACUUUUAAAUCUUGGACUCUUCAUGAAAGUUUUAGGCCUAUGUCUUAGCUUUGCAUA